ensembl:lncRNA
GGAGUAAGAGCAGUCUGAAUGAGUGGACCCUGCCGUGUCAGAGCUUUUUCAUGAGCACGACCGAGAGUGCCUUUCUUGUUUACCUUUUUAUAUUGACAAUGUUAUUGUCCGGUUGAAAUAUUAUUGAUUGUUUUGGGCUAAAAACAACCUGAGGAUUGAAUAUAAACAUCGUUUGACAUGUUUCUUUGAACUUUACGGAUACAAUUUGGAUUUUUUUGUCUGCCUGUUGUGACUGCGUUUGAGCCUGUGGAUUACUGAAGAAAACGUGUGAACAAAACGGAUGUUUUUGGAUAUAAAGAGACUAUCAAACAAAAUAAACAUUUAUUCAAUAAAUGUCUUCUGAGGGCAACCAUAUGAGGAUCAUGAAAGCUAAACCGAUUAGCUGUGAAGUCACUUUGGCCGGAGAAAGAUGGCGUCGCUUCUAUCCCCUACAAGAUCAACGAUGAUCUGGUGGACAGAAAGAAAACCAUGCUAGCAGCGUUCAAGCUCAUUUCAGACCAGACGUGUAUCCGCUUCCACGAAUACACCAAUGAGAUUAACUACAUCGAGUUCAUCUCUGGGACAGGGUUGACCAGGUCUAUUUUGCUGUAGUGUUCUUCCGCGAUGACCUGUGCCAUGACGGCAUGGAUGGUUUUCUCUGUGGGGAAGAAGCGCCUCAGCGGCGGCGGGGUCGUGUCUUGGAACAGCCCCGUCCGCACGUACUGGACCAUCUGGUUCUUUACCUCCUUCACCUUCCUCACCCCCUGCUGCACCAACGCUCGGAUGUAACCUUUGACCCUGUCGUCCAUCUGAUCUGCACCCGAGGGAACGAGGAGAGAGUGGCUUUUGUUAAGUAGGGAGAAAAUACCCCUAACCACUGUUACAGGGUCAGAUACUUGUAUUCCACAGGGAAUUUCAAGAGAUCAAGGAUUUAUUACGUCUGUGUACCGAACAGGCAUACAGAUACUAGUUAUGUAGCCUAAAGUGAGUCCAAUACAAUAGAUCCCAUGGUCAUAGUAUAGUAAUAACAUAGUAAUACCUUUCCAAUAGGAUGGCCCUUGUGGUCAGUGACACUGGGUAUUUUGAGGAAAUACUGUAUCUUCCACUGCACUGAGGCUGGGUCUGUCUGGAGAGCUUGUUUGAUGGAAAUAGACAUGACCCUCAACCAUGAUGUGUCCUUCUCCAACUGAUGCAGUAUGGAGCGAGCGCACACACACACACAGAGAGAUAUAAUUAUGUAUAUUAGUCUGAUGUGCAUUCUAAUGUUGACUGUGGUGCA